ACGAACAUAUCACGUUGUAAUACCCGUUCUUGUACGAUCACCGAAGUUAGGCAACAUCGAACCUGGUUAGUACCUAAAUGGGUGACCGCUUGGGAAUACAAGGUGCUGUA